GACGAACGCUGGCGGCGUGCUUAACACAUGCAAGUCGAACGGAAAGGCCCUGCUUUUGUGGGGUGCUCGGGUGGCGAACGGGUGAGUAACACGUGAGUAACCUGCCCUUGACUUUGGGAUAACUUCAGGAAACUGGGGCUAAUACCGGAUAGGAGCUCCUGCUGCAUGGUGGGGGUUGGAAAGUUUCGGCGGUUGGGGAUGGACUCGCGGCUUAUCAGCUUGUUGGUGGGGUAGUGGCUUACCAAGGCUUUGACGGGUAGCCGGCCUGAGAGGGUGACCGGCCACAUUGGGACUGAGAUACGGCCCAGACUCCUACGGGAGGCAGCAGUGGGGAAUACUGCACAAUGGGCGGAAGCCUGAUGCAGCAACGCCGCGUGCGGGAUGACGGCCUUCGGGUUGUAAACCGCUUUCGCCUGUGACGAAGCGUGAGUGACGGUAAUGGGUAAAGAAGCACCGGCUAACUACGUG
rnacentral:rRNA from 1 species